GUGGGAGCGGGCUUGCUCGCGAAUGCAGUGUGUCAGUCAACAGAUUUACAGCUGAUCCACCGCAUUCGCGAGCAAGCCCGCUCCCAC
rnacentral:misc_RNA from 1 species